rnacentral:rRNA from 1 species
UACGUAGGGUGCGAGCGUUAAUCGGAAUCACUGGGCGUAAAGGGUGCGUAGGCGGGUCUUUAAGUCAGGGGUGAAAUCCUGGAGCUCAACUCCAGAACUGCCUUUGAUACUGAGGAUCUUGAGUUCGGGAGAGGUGAGUGGAACUGCGAGUGUAGAGGUGAAAUUCGUAGAUAUUCGCAAGAACACCAGUGGCGAAGGCGGCUCACUGGCCCGAUACUGACGCUGAGGCACGAAAGCGUGGGGAGCAAACAGG